GGCUUGGGUCAAGGAAGGCGUCUCCCUCUUAGGGCAAGUCACUUGAUCCAAUCAGAAAGAGGGCAAUGAGUACUCCAACUCAAGUACUCAAAACUGUCUUUAGGUCUCUCUCAGUUCUAAAUACACGAGCAGAGCAAGGGGCUACAGACAAUGAAAAACAACCAAGCAAAGGCCGGGCCGUGGUGCUGUCAACAGAGAGUGCGCCCAGCUGUCACCUGAAGGAACUGAGAACAGGGUCUGCGGUGAAGCAAUGCCACUUGGGGAAGGAGUUCUGCCAGGUAAUAGAGUCCAGCGGCUGAGGGGGUUGAGAAGAGGAGCAAGCAGACAGAACAUUAGCCAGAGUCACUCCCACCAGCCCGGUCCUUCCUCUCUCUGCAGCUGGGUCCCCAUCAACCCUUCAUGAACUCAAGCACGUAAGGAACAAACCAAACAUCUUAUGUAGUGUCCUCCCUCCCAAGUCUGAAGAAGCAAAACUUUGUCAGGGCAACUAAAGAGGGUUUAUAAAACUGAAUGGAAACCUG